rnacentral:tRNA from 1 species
AAGAAUUUAAGUUAAUAAAACUAAUAACCUUCAAAGUUAUCAAUAAAGUUUCUUUAAUUCUUA